AUGGGCUUCUUGUCGUGCCUGUUCCGGUGCCCCGAGGAGGAGGAGCGGGUGGUGAAGGAGCACGAUGACGACGAGGACUCCGGCGGAAUCGACCAUGGAGUGGCUUCAGAGUCAUCAGAAAGUGCCCCACUGAAGACUGAAUCCGCACAUAUGGAAGGAAUCCAGAGAAAUGGCACACAUAAUGAGGCGACGAUCUUCACUUUGCGUGAGCUCGUUGAUGCCACCAAAAACUUCAGCAAGGAUUUUCAGUUGGGGCGAGGAGGAUUUGGUUGUGUGUAUAAAGCACAUCUGAAUGAUGGUCAGGUUGUUGCAGUCAAACAACUUGAUCUAAAUGGGCUUCAGGGGAACCGAGAAUUCCUUGUGGAGGUUCUCAUGCUCAACCUCUUGCAUCACCCUAACCUUGUCAAUUUGAUAGGGUACUGUGUUGACGGUGAUCAACGCUUGCUCGUUUAUGAAUAUAUGCCAUUGGGAUCACUAGAAGACCAUCUGCACGACCUUCCACCCAAUAAAGAACCUCUAGAUUGGACAACACGGAUGAAGAUAGCUGCGGGUGCAGCUGCUGGUUUGGAAUACCUACAUGAUAAGGCAAAUCCACCAGUUAUUUACCGAGAUAUUAAGCCAUCAAACAUUCUUCUUUCUGAAGGGUAUCAUGCGAAGUUGUCUGACUUUGGACUUGCUAAACUUGGUCCUGUGGGUGAUAAGACUCAUGUGACAACCCGUGUCAUGGGGACCUAUGGCUAUUGUGCUCCUGAGUACGCUGCGACUGGACAGCUAACGGUUAAGUCUGACAUCUAUAGUUUUGGUGUGGUGUUCCUCGAGCUAAUUACAGGACGAAGGGCACUCGAUAGCAAUCGGCCUCGUGAGGAACAGGACUUGGUCUCAUGGGCCCGUCCAUUGUUCAAAGACCAAAGGAAAUUUCCAAAGAUGGCUGAUCCUUUGCUGCGUGGCCGCUUUCCAAAGAGGGGUUUGUACCAGGCCUUGGCUAUUGCAGCGAUGUGUUUGCAGGAGAAGUCAAGGAAUCGCCCUCUGAUUAGGGAAGUUGCUGCCGCUCUCUCCUAUUUGUCAUCACAAACAUACGAUGGGAAUGACGCUGCUGUUCGUCGUUACCUUGAUGGCCCUUCGACAUCAAAAGUGUCAGACGAUCAGGUUAACCAAGAUGAUGCUUUGGCUAGUCAACAUGGAGCUCAAACAUGGAUGCAUGACCGUAUGAAUGACCUUGUUCCAGAAGGAAAAGAACAUUGCAGGAGUGGCUCCAAUCGUGGAGUACGAGGCAGGGUUGUUCCAAACGGUGUCGACCGAGACCGUGCACUUGCAGACGCGAAUGUCUGGGCCGAGGCUUGGAGACGCCACGAGAAGGCAAGCAAAGUGCGUGUAACCGAUGAAAUCCUCGGAUAG
rnacentral:rRNA from 1 species